AGUGAACGCUGGCGGUAGGCCUAACACAUGCAAGUCGAACGGCAGCACAGUAAGAGCUUGCUCUUACGGGUGGCGAGUGGCGGACGGGUGAGGAAUACAUCGGAAUCUACUUUUUCGUGGGGGAUAACGUAGGGAAACUUACGCUAAUACCGCAUACGACCUACGGGUGAAAGCAGGGGAUCUUCGGACCUUGCGCGAUUGAAUGAGCCGAUGUCGGAUUAGCUAGUUGGCGGGGUAAAGGCCCACCAAGGCGACGAUCCGUAGCUGGUCUGAGAGGAUGAUCAGCCACACUGGAACUGAGACACGGUCCAGACUCCUACGGGAGGCAGCAGUGGGGAAUAUUGGACAAUGGGCGCAAGCCUGAUCCAGCCAUACCGCGUGGGUGAAGAGGGCCUUCGGGUUGUAAAGCCCUUUUGUUGGGAAAGAAAAGCAGCAGGUUAAUACCCCGCUGUUCUGACGGUACCCAAAGAAUAAGCACCGGCUAACUCCGUG
rnacentral:rRNA from 1 species